rnacentral:lncRNA from 1 species
GGAGUUUUUACUGCUUUAAGCUGUUUGGGAGAGAUCCCAAUUUUGGCGAAAGCCUCCUGCGAGAGUAUAUUUGUUGCACUCCCAUUAUCAACCAGAAUCCUCUUUACUUCGAAGUUAGCCACAACCGCAGAGAUGACUAAGGCAUCGUCAUGAGGAUAUGAUAUUCCUUCCAAAUCUCUUGCUCCAAAAGUGAUGUCUUUCACUUCAUCACGGGAUUCUCUUGGGGUAUGAGCAUGUUGGCGGGCAUACUGCAUUCGCCCACUACUUGUGUCUCCGCUGGAUGCUAUGCCCCCAACGAUAAUAUUAAUAGUUCUGGUAGUGGGUUGAGCACUGCUUCCGACCCCAGGCUCUUUUCGAUUGUCACG